rnacentral:lncRNA from 1 species
CUGCUGGCUGCAGCCGGAGCGUGGCCUCUCCAGGCCUCCAGCCUCGCUGCCAGGAGGUCCCUGGCCCACACAGGCUCUCCCCGAGGGUCCUGCAGCUGGCAAGCCACUUGCAGACCGAAAACACGUGGCCACAGCUGUGAGUGAAAAUGAACCUGAGCAACACAGUGCCACUCUCGGAGGUGCGAGCUGAAGGAGGUAUUGUGAGACGCUGCAGCCAAAACUCCAUCUUGAUAACAUUUUUAUAGGGGUGAAACUACAAAGAGUAACUCAGCAGUUGCCAGCACGGCUGUGUUAGUAUGAGAGAAUAGCCAGAAGCAUCACUGCUCCAAAUCCAGCUUCAGUGAGAAGUGACUUGAACUGCGGCUGAGCUCAGUCUUCAGAGGCAGCUGCCGUGCUUCCCUUAAACCACAGGUUCACGUAGGAAGCCCAUGGCAGACUUGCAGGCUUGCAGGCAGCGUGUUGCCCAGUUGUUCCCUUUGCAUUAAAACAACAGAAAUACACGUUGAUCAUUUUGGGGGAUUCAUCCAAAAGGCAUGCCCAUCUACAUGACUGGCCACUCAGCUCCUUUGGAUCACAAAUGAGCCUUGAUGCACCGAUGCUUCACUGAACUGCAUAUAUCUGUAUAUACAGAUAUUUUGGGACAGAGA